UACGGAGGGUGCAAACGUUGCUCGGAAUCAUUGGGCGUAAAGCGCACGUAGGCGGCCACGUAAGUCGGAUGUGAAAGCCCUCGGCUCAACCGAGGAAGUGCAUUCGAAACUGUGUGGCUUGAGUACGGGAGAGGGCUGUGGAAUUCCCGGUGUAGAGGUGAAAUUCGUAGAUAUCGGGAGGAACACCAGUGGCGAAGGCGGCAGCCUGGACCGAUACUGACGCUGAGGUGCGAAAGCGUGGGGAGCAAAC
rnacentral:rRNA from 1 species